AGAGUUUGAUCAUGGCUCAGGAUGAACGCUGGCGGCGUGCCUAAUACAUGCAAGUCGAGCGAACGGACGAGAAGCUUGCUUCUCUGAUGUUAGCGGCGGACGGGUGAGUAACACGUGGAUAACCUACCUAUAAGACUGGGAUAACUUCGGGAAACCGGAGCUAAUACCGGAUAAUAUUUUAAACCGCAUGGUUCAAAAGUGAAAGACGGUCUUGCUGUCACUUAUAGAUGGAUCCGCGCUGCAUUAGCUAGUUGGUAAGGUAACGGCUUACCAAGGCAACGAUGCAUAGCCGACCUGAGAGGGUGAUCGGCCACACUGGAACUGAGACACGGUCCAGACUCCUACGGGAGGCAGCAGUAGGGAAUCUUCCGCAAUGGGCGAAAGCCUGACGGAGCAACGCCGCGUGAGUGAUGAAGGUCUUCGGAUCGUAAAACUCUGUUAUUAGGGAAGAACAUAUGUGUAAGUAACUGUGCACAUCUUGACGGUACCUAAUCAGAAAGCCACGGCUAACUACGUGCCAGCAGCCGCGGUAAUACGUAGGUGGCAAGCGUUAUCCGGAAUUAUUGGGCGUAAAGCGCGCGUAGGCGGUUUUUUAAGUCUGAUGUGAAAGCCCACGGCUCAACCGUGGAGGGUCAUUGGAAACUGGAAAUCUUGAGUGCAGAAGAGGAAAGUGGAAUUCCAUGUGUAGCGGUGAAAUGCGCAGAGAUAUGGAGGAACACCAGUGGCGAAGGCGACUUUCUGGUCUGUAACUGACGCUGAUGUGCGAAAGCGUGGGGAUCAAACAGGAUUAGAUACCCUGGUAGUCC
rnacentral:rRNA from 1 species